UAAUACGAGGGGGGCAAGUGUUGUUCGGAAUCACUGGGCGUAAAGGGAGCGUAGGCGGGCGCUUAAGUGGGAUGUUUAAAACCGGGGCCCAACCCCGGAGCGGCAUUCCAAACUGGGCGUCUUGAAUAGGGGAGAGGUCGAUGGAAUUGGAGGUGUAGCGGUGGAAUGCGUAGAGAUCUCCAAGAACACCGAUUGCGAAGGCAGUCGACUGGACCCAUAUUGACGCUGAGGCUCGAAAGCAUGGGGAGCAAACAGGAUUAGAUACCCUGGUAGUCCAUGCCAUAAACGAUGAAUACUAGGUAUGGGACCCGUCAACGGUUCCGUGCCGUAGCUAACGCGUUAAGUAUUCCGCCUGGGGAGUACGGUCGCAAGACUG
rnacentral:rRNA from 1 species